GACUGUAAUAUAGUGGAAAGUAUACGUGUGUGUAAAUCACGAGGCGUGGGUUCGACUCCCAACAGACA
rnacentral:tRNA from 1 species